UGAGAUGCAGCUCAGUGGUGGAGCAUCUGCCUAGCACGCAUGCACAAAGCCCUGGGUUCAAUCCCUAGCACCACAC
rnacentral:tRNA from 1 species